AACGGCCGUACCAUGCUGAAUAUACCGGUUCUCGUUAGAUCACCGAAGUCAAGCAUCAUUGGGCGCGGUCAGUACUUGGGUGGGUGACCACCUGGGAACACCUCGUGCCGUU
rnacentral:rRNA from 1 species